rnacentral:lncRNA from 13 species
AUGCAUGUGAUGAGGAGGGAUGCCAGGCCGUGUUGUGUGGAUGGGGAGGAGGUGAGCAGCGCCGAGGAGCCUCUCCUGCGUCCAGGGUCGCCCCCUCCUCAGCCUGCCCAAUGCGGGCGCGCGGGGACCUGCCACAUCCCAUCCCCGCAGCUGGAGGAGGCAGGGGCUGAGCGGGUAGGGGGUGGGGGUCCAAACUCCCGAGCUCUGAGCGCAGAACCUCGGAGCUGCGAAGCCCCAGACGGCGAAGUUAGGAAGUCGGGGCGCCCGCCCCUCCCCCGGCCCCCUUCCACCCUCGCUGCGCCCCUACUCGCCGCGCCCCCAGCCCCCCGCCGGAGCCUUCCUUACCUUCCCCAGCAGCAGCCGCCCGCCGGCGAGGACUCGAUCCGGCGAGUUGCAAAUCCCCGCGAGUGCCUCGCGUCGCCCGCGGCCGAGCCGGGCGCCCGACCGGAGGGGGGGCUCCUCCAGCCGCCGCCGCCCCCGGCCGGCUCCGGGCCUCGCCGGGACGCCCCCUGGAGCGCACCCGCCGGCGCACGCAGGCAGCCUCCCCUUCCUCCCCGCUGCAGGAGCCCCCCGGGCGCCCGGAGGGUCGGGAUGUCGACGCUGCGGACGACGCUGGGCGCGCGGGCCCGAGCCGGGCCAGGACGCUGCGCUGCCGCCUGUGCUCCGGGCUCACCGGCUCCGCGCUCGCUCCGCCGGGGCCGCCGCCAACGCCGCGCCCGCCGCCACCGCUCCCUCUCCGGCCGCCGCCGCUGCCGCUCCGCUCCUCUCGCCUGCCCGGCUCUUCUCGCCUUUUUUCCCCUUCCUGGGGGGGGGGGGGGCGAGCCGAGCCGAGCCGGGGGCGGGGCGGCGCGGGGAGGAGGAGGAGGCCGAGGACGAGGAGAAGGAGGAGGAGAGAGGCGAGAGCUGCUUCCCCCCACCCGGCUGCCGGCGCUCCCCAAUCUCUCGCUCUCUGAAACUGGAUCCCGAAUCGGGAGCCAGAGACUGCAUUACGGAUUACAUCAGGCUUUAUAG